AGGAGCGGUUAAGACGAGAAGUUCAGCAAAGCUAAACUCUCAAUUUUCCCUCCAUUAUCGGAGAAGUUCAGCAAAGCUUCGACGUCAGAACGAUCUUCCGUUCUUCCGAUUCUACUUAGUGAUAAAGAUCAGAUCUUGUUUAUGGGUAACCUAGCCACUUCAAUUGCAAGCAUCACCAGCCACCAGUUUGGUAAAUGAAAUAUCUCAAGCAAUGUACUACUGCAAUUGUGUAUUGAACUUCAAAGAGAGCAAUAGUUCAUCCAGAUUCCAGAUGUCUUCAACGCAAGUCUCAAAGGAUGUUUAAAAGGAUGACAAUUAUGUAGUGUUCAGUACACUCUUUGAUUAUGAUUUCCAAAUGACACCAAUUGAAGAUGAUUCCUCUGACAGUAAUAUAUAUACAUACCAGGCCGGUAUCCA